GCCCCCAGCUCAGUCAGUAGACAUGAGACUCUUAAUCUCGCGGCCAUGGGUUCAAACCCCACACUGGGCA
rnacentral:tRNA from 1 species